rnacentral:rRNA from 1 species
AGAGUUUGAUCAUGGCUCAGAACGAACGCUGGCGGCGUGCCUAACACAUGCAAGUCGAGCGCGAAUAGGGGCAACCCUUAGUAGAGCGGCGCACGGGUGCGUAACACGUGGGUAAUCUGCCUGGAAGCCUGGGAUAACUAGCCGAAAGGUUAGCUAAUACCAGAUGAGACCACGGACUCUUCGGAGUCUGAGGGAAAAGGUGGCCUCUGUAUACAAGCUAUCACUUCCAGAUGAGCCCGCGGCCCAUCAGCUAGUUGGCGGGGUAAUGGCCCACCAAGGCAACGACGGGUAGCUGGUCUGAGAGGACGAUCAGCCACACUGGAACUGAGACACGGUCCAGACUCCUACGGGAGGCAGCAGUGGGGAAUUUUGCGCAAUGGGCGAAAGCCUGACGCAGCAACGCCGCGUGUGUGAUGAAGGUCUUCGGAUUGUAAAGCACUUUCGACCGGGACGAAACCCUUCAACCUAAUACGUUGAAGCCUGACGGUACCGGGAGAAGAAGCACCGGCUAACUCUGUGCCAGCAGCGGCGGUAAUUC